GGUAGGGAAAUACAUUAAUGUGAGAUCAUUAUCUAAGAUGUUAUUGUGGCUCUCUAUAUGUAGGAAGUGGUCACAUAAGAACAUAAUAAGUAAGGAAAAGCAGGAAAAAACUAAUCUCUUUGUCCUCAUGGCACUCGCUAAGAACAGUACAGGAUGGCCGACAGUCAUGUGUUCCAUAACUAUUGCUUUCAUGGUGCUUUCUAUGAUGUGUUCUACCUUCCCAUCCUGCCAUGCAGGAACUGAUGUUGCAUUUGCAGAAUCUGUUCAUAAUGUGGUUUGUGAGACUCUCAAUCCCUGUGAUAGCCCGAGGUGCGAAGACAUGUGUAAUCGUAUAAUGCAACACCGAUUCAGGCACUAUUGCAAGACCCAUAACGUUCAGAUUCCAAACUGUUGUUGUAUAGAACAAUAAUAUAAUUGCUGGUUCUCCUGCUUGAGCCAUGCAAUAUUGAAUAAAUUUAUUUAAUAAAUUGAUGUCAAUAAAGAUGUUUUUCCGGUAA